rnacentral:rRNA from 1 species
GAUCAACGCUGGCGGCGUGCAUAACACAUGCAAGUCGAAGUGGCGAACGGGUGAGUAACACGUGAGUAACCUGCCUUACACAAGGGGAUAGCCUUUGGAAACGCAGAAUAAUACCCUAUAUGUAAGAUGGACUUGCGUCUGAUUAGCUAGUUGGUGAGAUAAAAGCCCACCAAGGCGACGAUCAGUAGCCGGCGUGAGAGAGUGUACGGCCACAUUGGGACUGAGACACGGUCCAAACUCCUACGGGAGGCAGCAGUGAGGAAUAUUGGUCAAUGGGCGGUAGCCUGAACCAGCCAAGUAGCGUGAAGGAUGAAGGCUUAUGGGUCGUAAACUUCUUUUAUAUAAGAAUAUGUAUUAUAUGAAUAAGGAUCGGCUAACUCCGUGCCAGCAGCCGCGGUAAUAC